GUAGGUGAACCUGCGGAAGGAUCAUUAUUGAAUUAGCGAGGGCUGUCUGCUGGCCCCUUCGGGGGCAUGUGCACGUCCGAGCCGUUUAAAUCAACACCUGUGAACUCACCGUAGGCCUUCGGGCUUAUGUAUCAUAUAUAUAUAUACUCAGAUCAUAGAAUGUACAUUUUGCCUUUAAAAAAGCAAUCAAAUACAACUUUCAACAACGGAUCUCUUGGCUCUCGCAUCGAUGAAGAACGCAGCAUCUGAC
rnacentral:misc_RNA from 1 species